UACGUAGGGGGCAAGCGUUGUCCGGAUUUAUUGGGCGUAAAGAGCGUGUAGGCGGUUUGGUAGGUCCGCUGUGAAAACUCGAGGCUCAACUUCGAGACGCCGGUGGAAACCAUCAGACUAGAGUCCGGAAGAGGAGAGUGGAAUUCCUGGUGUAGCGGUGAAAUGCGCAGAUAUCAGGAAGAACACCCGUGGCUAAGGCGGCUCUCUAGUACGGUACUGACGCUGAGACGCGAAGGCGUGGGGAGCAAACAGG
rnacentral:rRNA from 1 species